ensembl:misc_RNA 7SK 7SK RNA
GGAUGUGAGGGCCAUCUGGCUGUGACAUCUGUCACCCCAUUGAUCACCAGGGUUGAUUCAGCUGAUCUGGCUGGCUAGACAGGUGUCCCCUUCCUUCCUUACCAUUCCAUGUGCAUCCCUCCCAAAGCUGCACGCUCCAUCAGAGAGGACAACAACCUUCCCCGAUAAAGGAGAGGACCAUCCUUCAGUCAAGGGUUUACAAAUAGCUGCACUCCCUGGCUAGAACCUCCCAACAAAUGAGGCGCUGCACAUGACAGUCUACCUUUCUUU